UAUAAUUCCUUAGCGGAGGAAAAGAACCAACAGGGAUUGCCUCAGUAACGGCGAGUGAAGCGGCAACAGCUCAAAUUUUAAAGCCGGCGUCUUCGACGCCCGCGUUGUAAUUUGGAGAGGCAUCUUCGGUUUGGGCGCCAGUCUAUGUUCCUUGGAACAGGACGUCACAGAGGGUGAGAAUCCCGUGCUUGGCUGGCUGUCCCUCUCCAUGUGAAGUGUCUUCGACGAGUCGAGUUGUUUGGGAAUGCAGCUCAAAAUGGGUGGUAAAUUUCAUCUAAAGCUAAAUAUUGGCGGGAGACCGAUAGCGCACAAGUAGAGUGAUCGAAAGAUGAAAAGCACUUUGAAAAUAGAGUUAAAAAGUACGUGAAAUUGUUGAAAGGGAAGCGCUUGAGACCAGACUCGGUCGGGGACGAUCAGCGGCCCUUCUGGGCCGUGCACUCGUCCUCGGUUCGGGCCAGCAUCGGUUGAGACGGCGGGAUAAAGGCCCGGGGAAUGUGGCUCCUCUCGGGGAGUGUUAUAGCCUCGGGCGCAAUGCCGCCAGCCUCGACCGAGGACCGCGCUCUUUUGCUAGGAUGCUGGCGUAAUGGUCUUCAGCGACCCGUCUUGAAACACGGACCAAGGAGUCUAACAUCUAUGCGAGUGUUUGGGUGUCAAACCCUUGCGCGUAAUGAAAGUGAACGGAGGUGGGAACCCCUCCUCUGGGGGGGCGCACCAUCGACCGAUCCUGAUGUCUUCGGAUGGAUUUGAGUAGGAGCAUAGCUGUUGGGACCCGAAAGAUGGUGAACUAUGCCUGAAUAGGGUGAAGCCAGAGGAAACUCUGGUGGAGGCUCGCAGCGGUUCUGACGUGCAAAUCGAUCGUCAAAUUUGGGUAUAGGGGCGAAAGACAAUCGACCUUUCU
rnacentral:rRNA from 1 species